UCGCACCUGCGGCCUCCAAACCCCUGGUGCAGUUAUGACAGGAAGAACUUCAACUGUCCCAACUCAACUUCAAACUUUCCACCAACCAUUCGAAAUUAUCCCCCGGGACCUCAACCAAAAGCACAAACCAUUUAUAUACCACUACCCAAAGUACCAAUCUUCCAAAUACCUCAAACAACAUCGAACCUAUGAAAUAACAUUGAAUUCAAGCCUAAGAUUCCAAAUUCAUCCGAAUUUUGCUUUUGAUUAAAAAGUCUAUCAAACCACGUUCGAAUGACCUCAAAUUUUGUACACACAUCCCAAAUGACACAACGGAACUAGUGCAACUCUUAGAAUUCCAUUCCGACCCCUAUAUCAAAAUCUCACAUACCAUUCUUGCCAAUUCAAGCCUAAACCAACCACGGACCUCCAAAACACGUUCCGUUCACACUCCUGAGUCCCAAAUCAUCUCCCAAAGCUGUCUAAACCAUCGAAAUAACAUUUGAGACCUAUUUCACAUAAGUAAACAUCCAAUUUCCCAACUUAAACUCAUUCAAAAGAGACUAAGUGUCUCAAACCUCACCGAAUCCUUUCCGAACCCGAGCCAACCAAUCUGCUAACACAUAAUACCUAUAAUUAAAACAAUAAGAGCAGAAAUGGGUGAAACAGAGUGGUAACUCAUGG
rnacentral:lncRNA from 1 species